rnacentral:lncRNA from 1 species
ACGGACCCCCGCGGGAACAAAAACAAGGCAUCGUCAGACGCGCAGGGUAGAGGCUGGCUUUCUACGGAGGAAGUGCGUGGAGGUCAGGGCUCAGUCUCAGAUCUCGACUUCGAAGGCUUUCAGCCCAGGGCACGAGGUGUUCCUGCUCCCUGCAGACCCUGCGAGUGCCCGGGAAAGACACCCUCUGGAAGAGGUCAUCGCCCCGUCAGCGCUAGCCCUGCCUCAGCUCGGAGGGGAAGGUGUGUGAAUUUAGGGCCGCAGAAGUAA